CAAAACAUUAGUUUCCAUUCAUAUAAAGUAUCGGGUAAAUUGCCAAGGUAGAUUUGGCAUGGUAAACAAGGAAAUAGUUUAUUUAUUUUGUACGGAAUGCUUGUCAAAUAGAUAAAUCACCCUUCGUCUGUUCAAAAAGGACUAAGUUGUUGCGAUGACAACACCAACCAGAGGGCGAACAUAGCAUCUUUCAGGGAGCUGUAAUGAGGUGACCAAUAAUGGGUGCAAUUAAGAUCACCUGUGCAGGUUAAUUUAGCAUGUAUCGGUGGUUUAACAAGACCAGCUGGCAAUAAUAAGGUUGCUACCUUUUGAGGCAGAAUUUCCAGGCAAUACUUCCAAAUUGGCAUGUCCCAAUCCCCGAGAGGCUAUUACAUAACACCUUGCAGCGCAGCAAAAAUAAUUGACGACGGACAGAAGUCCCCACUUGGGAGAACAUUUUCCAGAAAUCCACAAAAUAGACUAAAGUGGCACCUGAUCACGUUUCACUCCAUUGUAUUGGCUUGGCAGGAGAAAAAGUAUUGCAUGACUCGUUCAGAAGUUGAAUGAUAUUCCACCCUGCAGAUGUAAGGAACUUGUUGUGAACCUCCAAGCCAACAGGAUAAUCAACAUAUCCCAGGAUAUUAUUUAGGAGUGUGCCAACCUCACAAUGUUAGAAAUAGAUUCACCCAUUAUAUUAUUUAUCAUGCAGAUUUGUCAGGACAUUGUAAUUCAUAAAGCUCAUUCUGAAAUAUAUCUGUCCCAGGGGAUUCAAUUUAGACCCCAAUUAGGUGUUAGUGAAGGGCUGAAAAAAACCCAACUAAACUCCUGUCUCAAAUAAGACAUGAAGAUCAGUCAAUCAGGAAAAUCAUUGAGUGAGUAGGUGUGUCCAACAUUUUGACGUAUAUAUAUAUAGAUAGAUCUGCAUAUAAUUGUAUUGGACAUGUUAUCCUUCGUCACAUGCACGUAUUUAUUUUGUAUCCAUUGCAUUUAGCUUACAUUAGGAAGAAGUAGCCUCGGCAGUCUAAUCUAGUUACAGUAGAUUGCAUCGUAUCACCUUUCAAUAUUAUUAACGAAUAUGAAACCAUGUUAACUUGAACAUAUAAUUUAAUCAUAUGCACGGGUGUCAUAUUUGUAUGACUGUAUCACAAUGCAAGCCUACUCACUCGAAAAAUACAGCAGCUCUAAUGCAAUAUUAGCUUCGCAAUGAAACACCACUAUUCUUAAUUAAACAGUCAGUAAAAUAGCUGAUUUAGCUGUAAAUGAAAAUUGUAGCCUGUAUGUUAUCAUGCAUGCAAACUUGUCAUGUCCACAACAAUGGAGCAGCAAACCAAGCAACAUGCAAGAGGAGGACCCCAUACCGUAGGAUAAUUAUUCUGGUCGGUGUUAACUACAUUCAUAAUUCAGGGAUGACGAGACGGCCUACAGGGAGGAGGUGAGAGCCCUUGGAGUGUGGUGUCAGGAAAAUAACCUCUCACUCAACGUCAACAAAAAGGAGAUGAUCGUGGACUUCAGGAAACAGCAGAGGGAGCAUCCCCCCCCAUCCACAUCAACGGGAAAGUAGUGGAGAAGGUGGAAAGUUUUUAAGUUCCUCGGCGUACACAUUACGGACAAACUGAAAAGGUCCACCCACACAUACAGUGUGGUGAAGAAGGCGCAACGGCGUAGCCUAACAGCAUCUCUUCAACCUCAGGAGGCUGAAGAAAUUUUGCUUGUCACCUAAAACACAAACUUUUUCAGGUGCACAAUCUAGAGCAUCCUGUCGGGCUGUAUCACCACAUGGUACGGCAACUGCUCCACCCGCAACCGCAAGGCUCUCCAGAGGGUAGUGCGUUCUGCACAACGCAUCACCGGGGGCAAACUAACUGCCCUCCAGAACACUUACAGCACCCGAUGUCACAGGAGGCCAAAAAGAUCAAGGACAACAACCACCCAAGCCACUGCCUUUUCACGACGCUAUCAUCCAGAAGGCAUGGUCAGUACAGGUGCAUCAAAGCUGGUACUGAGAGACUGGAAGACAGCUUCCAUCUCAAGGCCACCAAACAGCCAUCACUAACAUUGAGUAGAUGCUGCCAACAUACAGACUCAAAUCUCUUGCCACUUUAAUACAUUUAGUAAAUGGAUUUAAUAAAGGUAUCACAAGUCACUUUAAAUAACUCCACUUUAAUAAUGUCUACAUAUCCUACAUUACUCAUUUCAUAUGUAUAUACAGUAUUCGAUACCAUCUACUGCAUCUUGCCUAUGUCACACGGCCAUCGCUCAUCCAUAUAUUUACAUGUACAUAUUCUUAUUCAUCCCUUUACAUUUGUGUGUAAUGGGUAGUCAUUGUGAAUUUGUGAGAUUACUUGUUAGAUAUUACUGCUCUGUCGGAACAAGAAGCACAAACAUUUCGCUACACUCACAUUAACAUCUGCUAACCAUGUGUA